UCGUUUAUUUACUAAGAUAUGGGGGGUGGUAAGUUUUCAAAUUGUCACCCUGUAUAUCAAGACUAUUGAAUUGAAAUGGAAUAUAAAUCCCAAUGAAUGCCAAACCAUUAAAUCUCCUAAUUCAAUAGUGAUCGAUAAAUACCAAAUUUGGUUCCAAUCGGUUCAGCCGUUUAGCCGGAAAUGAGAGUACCGACGGACCGACAGACCGACAGACCGACAUCAUCGAGAUUUUGGUUGAUUCGGAUUCCUGGUGCUUUAAAACGUAUAUUUCCGUAAAAAAAGUGGGGGAUCAUUUUUUACUUCCCUCACUAUGUGUCUCUAGAUUUGCUUAUGGUGUAGUUUGACGUUAAUUUAGAUUCAUUGUAAAACGUAGCGUCAUUUUGCCUUUUGCCUUCAGGUAGUACACAGUUGUAUUUACUUUAAUUGUCAAAUUCAGUUUUCGUGAUAACAAAAGGUAAUGUAAUUAGUUUUAAUUGUAGUUUUUCGCUUUAUUAUUGUAUUGCCGUCAGCUGCUUGUAACUGAGGAUAGGUGACUCUUGAAUUUGAAUUUUCACAUUUUUGUUUCUAGAAAAUUCCUGGAUUCUUUUGGAGAGCCUGGGAAACUUUAGACCUUUAAAAGCUCACAAAGAUAGUAAAUUUUAUAUACUAUUGGACUCGAUUGGACGAGGACGCUAUUGGAAGAGAGCGCUGGUGGCAUCUAAAAGCUCUCGCAGAUCUUCAAAGACCCAAAGGUUGGGUUUUAAAAGGUUUUCGUAAAUUAUGCAGGAAUUUGGGCGGUCUUUUUAGCGCAUUUUUUCAAAUUUAUUUGUAAAAAGGUAGCUUUUAAUCUCACUUUGGCUGGCUGGCUGGCAGUAAAUGCGAGUCCGUAGAAGAACGCUUUUAAAAAGACGAGGAAUGUACAUGUACCUAUCGGGGCCGUGUAAUUAACAACUUUAGGGAUGGGACUAAAAGAUGUGGGGUCGGCGACAUCCACGAGCGUGUUAUGCCAACUUGGAGAUUUUUCAGUUUUUUUCUCAGAUUGUUUUCAAAUAUGUGUCGUCGAAAAGAUCAACGCGCACAACUCCUGCGCGGCGGAAUUUGGUUUUUUUUUUCUUAAGGGCGACAUAAUUCACCUUUUGCACGCCACGCUUCGGGGGUAGUCGACUUUGGGCGUCUAAAAGUUUCUUAGAGCUCGAAUCGCCGUCUCUCUUUCUUGUCGCCAAUAGAAACUCGAGCUAUGAGAAGUCCCCAAAAAUUAAGUACCAUUUUGCACCGGGUUUUUUUAGCGAAAUCCACCAAAAUGCGAAUUGCGAGUUAACGGGACGUCGGAGGUGGGUUCAGACAAAGAAAAUGUGGUACCCUUCGACAAGAUCUUCUUGAUGGCGGGUCAAUACUGGCUAAUAAAACACUGAUCUGCCACACAAACAUGCGCUGAUCGAUCUCACACGAGGACUUUGACACUUUUUUCCUCCACCUGUUUUGAAAGGAAUUCUAAACGGGCAAAAGGCACCUAUUAAGAGAACGUCUAAAGUAGAUUUUCCUUAGUUUGCGCGCAGGCCACAACGCAAAAAUGCCAUCGGGUUAACCAAGAAAAAGUAAGCACCUUAUUUCUAAUCUUAUUUGUUAUUCUGAACGAGAAAGAGAUGGUGGUCUACUUUUACCAGUCUCAGCAGUAAGAGAGAGAGUUGGGGAUGUAAUAAAUAUUAGCCUGCGAACAGUGACCUUUAUUUCACAAAUCGGGUAAACUUCUAGAAAAUUCUAAAAAAAACAAGACAAUGUAAGAAACCCGUUAACGAUGUUGAUGGUUUCAGGCAAGUGGCGAUUUGGGACUCCAUCUACGACACAUUAAGUUAAAACACACGUUGAAUGGUUGAAUGUAGAUAGGCGUUUAUGUCAACUGUACAAAGAUUAGGGAAAGAGUAACAAACCAAUUACGACGCCAAGCAAUGGCCCUAAUCGAUUUCAACGGAAGUUAAAUACCUGGAAGCGUACGUGUGAUGGACCACAGUCUCAUUAUGCUCAUAGGCAUCUUUGUGUGGGCCCUACUACUUAAGGGUGGUGCCGGUCAAAAUUCACCAAGCGACCUCGGUCUGCCGCAAUACGACGCGAUCGGUGCGCUCACGAGGCUCGCGAGCGUUCUGCUCGGACACUUUGUUGGACCGGUCCAGGGGGAUUAUAACGAGGUGUGCAAAAUUUAUACAGUUGGAAUCGCCGGAAGUGAAAUAAAAGUCAGUCUACGUCCUCACAGCACCUGCACCUACUGCUGUAACUUAAUCAGUCCCCAUCGUCGCAUCGCCCUCCAUCUGCACCGAAAGAAUCACGAGACAAUAAAGAUCGAUAUGAAACGCAAACGCGGCCGCCUCAAAGCAUACGGCAUCAACAGCAACAUCACAACCAUGCUGUACAUUCACGGAUUCACAGAGUACGCAAUUGGCGUCAGCGCUCGAGGGGUGUGCGAUGCUUACCUGUCACGAGAUGAGGACUACAACGUACUCUCCCUGGAUUGGUCGUCUUUGGCGGUCUUUCCAUGGUACAGCGCAGCGGCGAACAACACGCGAAUUGUCGGUAGAGUCCUGGCGAAAUUUUUGAAGUUUUACGACGCUAGCGGCGAACUGCCGCUCGAAAACGUGCAUGUGGUCGGUUUCAGUUUGGGGAGCCACGUCGCCGGAUUCGCGAGUCGAAUUUUGAACGGGCGAAUGGGAAGGAUUACGGCACUGGAUCCUGCCUUUCCCGAGUUUCCGCUCGAUGAUAAGUCGCAGAUCAUCACGAAAGAGGACGCGGGCUACGUCGACGUCAUCCACACUGACAGUGGAGGGUAUGGAAUUCCAAUUUCGAUCGGGCACAGCGACUUUUAUCCGAACGGCGGACGAUUUAUGCAACCGGGAUGCACGGCGUCGCAGUUGGCCGAGGAGGGUAAUAUCCUUAGCAUUGGUAGCAGAGCUGUAAUGGCCGUAUUUUUGCAGUACUAUGCAGCCAUUUUCACGCGUGGAGGUUCUACGCGGAAUCUGUGAUGAAUCCUACCGCAUUUCCGGCGACCCGGUGCGGUAUCUCCGAAAAUGGACGCUUGAAUAGCUGCCCGUUCACUGUUCAUGGGUAUAUGGGAUUCGGCGCCAACAAAAGUGUUGUGGGAAACUUUUAUCUUACGACCAACAAUAAAUUUCCUUAUGGCAAAAGUGCCGAGAGUCAAAUGUUUCAAAAUGGAACUGUACGAU